UGACUGUGUGUGUGUGUGUGUGUAUGUGUGUGUGAGCUCCCCAGCUGCCAGGCCGCACAGGUUCUCCCCUCCAAACUCGCUUCCUGCUCCCCAGGUCUUGCUUACAGGCCUUUCAGACGGACUGCAGGCUGGUUUCGGGGAGCGUGCGGCCGCCCCCCUCCCCUGCCUGAAGCUCUUCUUCUCUGUGCUCCCCUCAGACCGAGUGCUUCAACCACAUCCGGUUCCUGCAGAGGUUCAACGAGACCCACCUGUACGCCUGUGGCACCAAUGCCUUCCGGCCACUCUGCGUCUACAUCGACUCCGAACGGUUCACCUUCACUUCGCGCUUCGAGGAAGGUCGCGAGAAGUGUCCUUACGACCCAGCUAAAGGACACACCGGCCUCUUCGUGGAUGGCGAGAUGUACACGGCCACGCAGUAUGAUUUCCGCAGCUCCCCCGACAUCCGUCGAAACUUUCCCAACCCUGUGGUGAAGACUGAAGAAGGUCCCAUCCGCUGGCUGCUCGGUGAGGCCUGCUGGGGGGCAGGGGGGG